UGACUGUUACAACCCACACAGCAGGAGACUCCUAGGCGGAUCCGCAUUCAAGUCGCCAAACCCGCGUGACUGUCACAUUCGGUUUGGCGCCGCCCAGAGGAUCAGCUCAGCCUCCGGGCGGCGCCGUAAAUUCUACUGUCAAUCAGCAGAUCCUGAGGGCUCAGACUAAAUACUUGGGGUUUCGAGUCUGACGACAGCACGAGGGCGUGGCUUGUUCGCAAGGUCAAGGAUCAUGCGCCGUUUACAUGCCCCGAAAAGACGGCGAAACAGCCCCAGAGAAACAACGUCGAUCUAGGUUACUUAAAGGUCCUUUGUUUCCUGUGCAUAAUGGCAGAGGCAGACCAGACCAGAAAUACUCUAGGUGAGCUUAUAAUAUAUAAAGUUCAAAAGUCUAUUCAAAUGCACAAUGUUCUCCCUUAGUCCUUCCUUACAGAUUACCUUCCUAAAUAUUUUGGAACAGAAUGGCUCCCUGGUUGUUUUAAAGUGCUGAACAUCUAAAAAAACACUGUGUCUGGCUUUGUCACCAAUAAAUCGGACCUCAGCACUGUACGAGAAUGCCACAAGAGAGAAACACUGACAUUUUUCAUUGUUUGGUCUGAUGAUAAAAGAAAGAAAGAAAAAGGGCCACAUCGUCUGGUUUGGCAGGUGGAAGAUUUAUCAGAGAAUGUACCACUUACCACACGUACCACCUACCUAAGCAUUGUUGCAGACCAUGUACACCCUUUUAUGGAAACGGUAUUCCCUGGUGGCUGUGGCCUCUUUCAGCAGGAUAAUGCCUCUGCCACAAAGCAAAAAUGGUUCAGGAAUGGUUUGAGGAGCACAACGAGUUUGAGGAGGUAUAUGGCUGUGAGGUACAGUCAUACUAAUGAAUUGGGAGGAUUCUGGGAAUAUGGUGGUCUCUGCUCUGCACCACAAAAAGAUGCCAGCAGUUGGGGGGCUUUUGUACUACUGAAUGCUCUUGCCCUGACGAGAGGCAUCAGUCCAAGCCAUCUGACACAACGCCAUGCAGUGGAAAUGAGGAAGUUUGUGUACCACAAACUCAAACAAAAUGCAUUAUGUUAAAGGUUAAGGUAACCCAAAAAU